GACUCUGUAGCUCAGUUGGUUAGAGCACUGCACUGGAAUCGCAGGGCCGCAGGUUCGAUUCCUGCCAGGGACC
rnacentral:tRNA from 1 species